AGGUGGAGAAACAAGGAAGAUUGCCUGGAAGAGGCUGAUGUUGCAACAGCUGCUCAGCUGAACCCAGAUGCUCACUUUCACAGCUGGAAGACAACCUGUCUGAAGCCAACGUCCAGCUGGCUGAGGUGGAGAAGAGCCAAGCUGAAAUUAAUGCCAUCAGGCUCCAAGGCAAAUGACGUCAAGAGGCAAUGGAUGAAGAGUCAAAGGUGCUGGGGAGCACCAACUGCCUACAGAGGUUGCUUGCUGCCAUGGGACAUGCAGCGCCUGUUCUUUGCUGUCCACUUCAGUGGAACAAAUGUUUUGUGUUAGCUCUCACAGAGGAAAACUUUCUCAUCCGAAUUAAUCUCUGGGUUUGCUACCAGCUGAUCUUGGCAGCAAUGUGGGGGAUGAGUCUUGUAAGGAUAUGAAAGAAAGAUACAGAAUUUCCCGUGAGUCAGCAGCAAAAAGCAGAACACACACCUCUUGGUUCUCAGUCCACUGUCCAUUCAGUGGAUCGGACAGGAGUUUAUUUGCAGAGAUCAUACAAGUUUGGCUAAAAAUAUACCAGUAUCUCAGGUCUCUGCCUGACACA